GACGAACGCUGGCGGCGUGCUUAACACAUGCAAGUCGAGCGAUGAAGUUCCUUCGGGAGUGGAUUAGCGGCGGACGGGUGAGUAACACGUGGGUAACCUGCCUCGUAGAGGGGAAUAGCCUUCCGAAAGGAAGAUUAAUACCGCAUAAGAUUGUAGCUUCGCAUGAAGCAGCAAUUAAAGGAGCAAUCCGCUAUGAGAUGGACCCGCGUCGCAUUAGCUAGUUGGUGAGGUAACGGCUCACCAAGGCGACGAUGCGUAGCCGACCUGAGAGGGUGAUCGGCCAACUUGGGACUGAGACACGGCCCAGACUCCUACGGGAGGCAGCAGUGGGGAAUAUUGCACAAUGGGGGAAACCCUGAUGCAGCAACGCCGCGUGAGUGAUGACGGUCUUCGGAUUGUAAAACUCUGUCUUUAGGGACGAUAAUGACGGUACCUGAGGAGGAAGCCACGGCUAACUACGUGCCAGCAGCCGCCGUAA
rnacentral:rRNA from 1 species